CGCCUGGGGAGUGCGGCCGCAAGGUUAAAACUCAAAUGAAUUGACGGGGGCCCGCACAAGCGGUGGAGCAUGUGGUUUAAUUCGACGCAACGCGAAGAACCUUACCUGGCCUUGACAUCCAGAGAACUUUCCAGAGAUGGAUUGGUGCCUUCGGGAACUCUGAGACAGGUGCUGCAUGGCCGUCGUCAGCUCGUAUCGUGAGAUGUUGGGUUAAGUCCCGUAACGAGCGCAACCCCUAUCCCUGGUUGCUAGCAGGUAAUGCUGAGAACUCCAGGGAGACUGCCGGUGACAAACCGGAGGAAGGUGGGGAUGACGUCAGGUCAUCAUGGCCCUUACGGCCAGGGCUACACACGUGCUACAAUGGCGCGUACAGAGGGCUGCCAACUCGCGAGAGUGAGCCAAUCCCUUAAAACGCGUCGUAGUCCGGAUCGGAGUCUGCAACUCGACUCCGCGAAGUCGGAAUCGCUAGUAAUCGCGAAUCAGAAUGUCGCGGUGAAUACGUUCCCGGGCCUUGUACACACCGCCCGUCACACCAUGGGAGUGGAUUGCACCAGAAGUAGUUAGUCUAACCUUCGGGAGGACGAUUACCACGGUGUGGUUCAUGACUGGGGGUGAAGUCGUAACAAGGUAACCGUA
rnacentral:rRNA from 1 species